rnacentral:rRNA from 1 species
AGGACGAACGCUGGCGGCGUGCUUAACACAUGCAAGUCGAGCGGAAAGGCCCUUCGGGGUACUCGAGCGGCGAACGGGUGAGUAACACGUGAGUAAUCUGCCCUUAGCUCUGGGAUAGCUCCGGGAAACCGGGAUUAAUACCAGAUAUGACCACUUUAGACAUCUUUUGUGGUGGAAAGAAUUUCGGCUGGGGAUGAACUCGCGGCCUAUCAGCUUGUUGGUGAGGUAAUGGCUCACCAAGGCGACGACGGGUAGCCGGCCUGAGAGGGCGACCGGCCACACUGGGACUGAGACACGGCCCAGACUCCUACGGGAGGCAGCAGUGGGGAAUAUUGCGCAAUGGGCGAAAGCCUGACGCAGCGACGCCGCGUGGGGGAUGAAGGCCUUCGGGUUGUAAACCCCUUUCAGCAGGGACGAAGCGAAGUGACGGUACCUGCAGAAGAAGCGCCGGCUAACGUACGUGCCAGCAGCCGC